rnacentral:lncRNA from 10 species
CCAGGAGGUCGAGUUGGGGCAGAGGGUACAUAAUUCUUGCGCUAGGCAAAGAGCAUGCACAAAGGCACCUUCUAGGAAGGCACCUGCCCAGUUACCUUGCCACCACCUUGAGCCACAAUGGUGCCUCGGUCCUUUGGGUUGUCACACAGUGCCAGGAAUACCCUGUGGGACCGAGAAGAAAGGAGAACAGUUAAUACACCAGCACACCUUCCCAGGCAGCAGCAGCAGCAGGCCAGCCAGUCGGAGCCAGUGAAACCCUGGGAUGAAAAGGGAGACUAUGGAAAGUGCCACUUGUGUGCCUGUGCCCCAGAAUUAACCACUUUGGGAAGAUGACAUCAUGGGAAUAAUUGGCUGGGAAGGAAGUGAGGCCAAGUGAGGCUGCAAAGAGCACUCCCCACUAUCACUAUUUAGGGAUGCAACCACCCAGGAGAAGCUUUUCAACUUCAAUGGAUGUGCCCCAGGUCCUCCGUGAUCUGGCUCUGGC